GGCAACAUCAUGCUGAAACACUGGUUCUCAUACAAUCACCAAAGUUAAGCAUUAUUGAGCUUGGUCAGUACGUAAAUGGGUGACUACAUGAGAAUACCAGGUACUGUAA